ACCUCCAAACAGAAAAAUUACUGUCAAUUAGUUCGACAAACAGAUUUUCUCAUGGUAACUCAUCUAGAAGAGAAAAUCUGUUCAACAGUCGGUCCUCACUGCACACCCUCAACGUGGCAAAUCGGGUCUAAUUCCACGUCACGGUUCUUUGACAAACACAAAUUGAAUCUCCUUUCCCAGCCCCUCUGCUCUCAGCUCUCCUAUUCUCUAUCUCUUCAAAGGCCUAACCUAAGAAGCGCUCCCUCCCCGUUUUGCACUCUUCUCUCUCUCUCAACACCGUUGGCAUCAACUCAACUCAUCCCUUCUCUAUCCCCCCAUUGCUUGGCACUUGAAUCUAUGGGAAACUCAACCCAUAGCAGUGAAUCUAGGGCAAGCGGCAAGCUCAAAUCAAUGGCAAACUCGACCCCCUCUGUGUGUCUUUGGUUCCUCCCGUCAAUUUCAAAUCCCCCUCUGUCCAGAAAUAGACCUUCACAUGUGUCACUGGUUGCUUCUCCACUGUGUCCCUUAGACAACAUUCACACCUUCUCAUGAGUCCAGAUCUAUGGCACCGUUAGAUCAAUUUCCUUCCAGUGCUUUGUUCAUCUAUUGCGCUCGGUGCUCCGUUUACUAACAACUGCUUUGUUCAUCUUCCCGAUGCUUCAUCUUGUGUCUUCAUUCAUUUGGCUUGCCCAAGUUCUUAACUGGUAAGGUGUUAGUUAUUUGGCUUGCCCAAGUUCUCAACUGGUAAGGUGUUUGUUAAGCAAGCCACUUGUAACGGUGCAGACAAUAGAAAGUUCUUAACUGAUUCUUCGGAAGCUACAGGGGAGGAGGUCGACGGGACAAUUUUUUUCCAGAGAAAGGCAAGGGAGGAAGCCGACGGGAUUGGGGGGAGGAGAGAGAAGAUAAAACUAGAGAAGAGAGGAGCUGUGGUCUCCGGCGCGAUUUUGAAAAGUAGUGAUAUGCUACAUGUGGCUCUAUUCACAAUAUUACUGAAAUUCAUGUGUGGCAUGUUGUUAUUCGCUGGUGUAAAAAACCAAUUCACACCCGAUCGGCUCCAA